UACGAAGGGGGCUAGCGUUGCUCGGAAUACUGGGCGUAAAGCGUGCGCAGGCGGUUAUGCAAGACAGAUGUGAAAUCCCCGGGCUCAACCUGGGAACUGCAUUUGUGACUGCAUAGCUAGAGUACGGUAGAGGGGGAUGGAAUUCCGCGUGUAGCAGUGAAAUGCGUAGAUAUGCGGAGGAACACCGAUGGCGAAGGCAAUCCCCUGGACCUGUACUGACGCUCAUGCACGAAAGCGUGGGGAGCAAACAGG
rnacentral:rRNA from 1 species